rnacentral:rRNA from 1 species
UACGUAGGGUCCGAGCGUUGUCCGGAAUUACUGGGCGUAAAGAGCUCGUAGGUGGUUUGUCGCGUUGUUCGUGAAAACUCACAGCUCAACUGUGGGCGUGCGGGCGAUACGGGCAGACUAGAGUACUGCAGGGGAGACUGGAAUUCCUGGUGUAGCGGUGGAAUGCGCAGAUAUCAGGAGGGAACACCGGUGGCGAAGGCGGGUCUCUGGGCCGAUACUGACGCUGGAGGAGCGAAAGCCGUGGGGAGCGAACAGG